rnacentral:rRNA from 1 species
UCGGAGGGUGCAAGCGUUAUCCGGAUUCACUGGGUUUAAAAGGGUGCGUAGGCGGGCAGGUAAGUCCGUGGUGAAAUCUCUGAGCUUAACUCAGAAACUGCCAUGGAUACUAUUUGUCUUGAAUAUUGUGGAGGUAAGCGGAAUAUGUCAUGUAGCGGUGAAAUGCUUAGAUAUGACAUAGAACACCAAUUGCGAAGGCAGCUUACUACACAGUUAUUGACGCUGAGGCACGAAAGCGUGGGGAUCAAACAGG